rnacentral:rRNA from 2 species
ACUAACAAGGAUUCCCCUAGUAACUGCGAGUGAAGCGGGAAAAGCUCAAAUUUAAAAUCUGGCGGUCUCUGGCCGUCCGAGUUGUAAUCUAGAGAAGUAAUGCCCGUGCUGGACCGUGUAUAAGUCUCCUGGGAUGGAGCGUCAUAGAGGGUGAGAAUCCCGUCUUUGACACGGACUACCAGUGCAUUGUGGUAUGCUCUCAAAGAGUCGAGUUGUUUGGGAAUGCAGCUCAAAAUGGGUGGUAAAUUCCAUCUAAAGCUAAAUAUUGGCGAGAGACCGAUAGCGAACAAGUACCGUGAGGGAAAGAUGAAAAGAACUUUGGAAAGAGAGUUAAACAGUACGUGAAAUUGCUGAAAGGGAAACGCUUGAAGUCAGUCGCGUUGGCCAGGGAUCAGCCUUGCUCUUGCAUGGUGUACUUUCUGGUUGACGGGUCAGCAUCAAUUUUGAUCGCUGGAAAAGGGCCUGGGGAAUGUGGCAGCUUCGGCUGUGUUAUAGCCCCUGGUCGCAUACAGCGGUUGGGAUUGAGGAACUCAGCACGCCGCAAGGCCGGGUUUCGACCACGUUCGUGCUUAGGAUGCUGGCAUAAUGGCUUUAAGCGACCCGUCUUGAAACACGGACCAAGGAGUCUAACAUGCCUGCGAGUAUUUGGGUGGAAAACCCAAGUGCGUAAUGAAAGUGAAAGUUGAGAUCCCUGUCGUGGGGAGCAUCGACGCCCGGACCAGAACUUUUGGGACGGAUCCGCGGUGGAGCAUGUAUGUUGGGACCCGAAAGAUGGUGAACUAUGCCUGAAUAGGGUGAAGCCAGAGGAAACUCUGGUGGAGGCUCGUAGCGAUUCUGACGUGCAAAUCGAUCGUCAAAUUUGGGUAUAGG